rnacentral:rRNA from 1 species
ACAAUGGAGAGUUUGAUCCUGGCUCAGGAUGAACGCUAGCUACAGGCUUAACACAUGCAAGUCGAGGGGAAACGAUAUUGGAAGCUUGCUUCCGAUAGGCGUCGACCGGCGCACGGGUGAGUAACGCGUAUCCAACCUGCCCACCACUUGGGGAUAACCUUGCGAAAGUAAGACUAAUACCCAAUGAUAUCUCUAGAAGACAUCUGAAAGAGAUUAAAGAUUUAUCGGUGAUGGAUGGGGAUGCGUCUGAUUAGCUUGUUGGCGGGGUAACGGCCCACCAAGGCGACGAUCAGUAGGGGUUCUGAGAGGAAGGUCCCCCACAUUGGAACUGAGACA